AACCAAAAGCGAAAGMGAUSUCCYGGAACAUUACUGUCGCUAAGGCKGAAAGSGUGGGGAGCAAACAGGAUUAGAUACCCUGKUAGUCCACGCCCUAAACGAUGAACACUAGUCGUCGGAAAGCUUGUCUUUUCGGUGAWGCACUUAACAGAUUAAGUGUUCCRCCUGGGGGAGUACGGUCGCAAGAUUAAAACUCAAAGGAAUAGACRGGGACCCGCACAAGUGGUGGAGCAUGUGGUUUAAUUCGAAGAUACCGCGAAAAACCUUACCURGCCUUGACAUUGAUAGAAUCUGCUAGAGAUAGCGGAGUGCCCUUCGGGGAGCUUGAAAACAGGUGCUGCACGGCUGUCRUCAGCUCGUGUCGUGAGAUGUUGGGUUAAGUCCCGCAACGAGCGCAACCCUCGUCCUUAGUUGCMAGCAGGUUAAGYUGGGCACUSUMGGGAGACUGCCUUYGUAAGGAGGAGGAAGSUGMGGACGACGUCAAGUCAUCAUGGCCMUUAUGGCCAGGGCUACACACGUGSUACAAUGGGGCGUACAGAGAGUUGCAAUACCGSGAGGUGGAGCCAAUYUCACAAAGCGUCUYUCAGUUCGGAUUGAAGUYUGCAACUMGACUUCAKGAAGCUGGAAUCAMUAGUAAUCGUAGAUCAGCAWUGCUACGGUGAAUACGUUCCCGGGUSUKGUACUCACCGCCCGUCACACCAUGGGAGUUGAUUUCACCCGAAAUUGGGAAGCUAACCUUCGGGAGGCUACCAYWUACGGUGGAAUUAGCGWCUGGGGUGAAGUSGUAACAAGGUAACCGUAAUCGAAUUCCCGCGGCS
rnacentral:rRNA from 1 species